UUAAUAAUGGAGAUUUUGCAAUGCAAAUAAAAAUUUAAAUGGUUUCUAGUGUAGGACAAAAUAAUUAACAGAAGAUAUUCACAGAAGAAGAAGAGGAAAAUAUAACUAAAUAUCUGAUCCAAGCUAGCCAAAUUUUUUAUGGCCUUUCCAUUAAAAAGAUAAAAAUAUUAGCCUACCAAAUGGCAAUAAAUAUGAAGAAAAUAUUUCCUAAAUUUUGGAAGGAAAAUUCAAUGGCUGGCCAUGACUGGUACUUAGGAUUUAUGUUAAGAAAUCCUACUCUGUCCUUAAGGUCCCCUGAAGCUACAAGUAUGGCUAGGGCAACUGGCUUUAAUGAAGAAAAUGUUCUAUACUUUUUUAUUAAAUGAUUUGUUAAGUAAAUGUUUUACAUUUAAUAUUUAGGAAUAUUAGAUGAACAUAAAUUAGAAUGUAUGGCAAUUUACAACAUGGAUGAAACUGGACUUACCACAGUUCAAACCCCAUCCAAGAUAAUUGCACAAAAGGGUCAAAAACAGGUAGGAUCUAUGACUUCUGCAGAAAGGGGUACCUUAAUAACAUUAGCUCUAGCAGUAAAUGCAAUUGGCCAUAUAAUUCCUCCAAGUAUGUACAAUAUAUCCACUGAAUCCAGAUAUAUUCAAGAAAGAAGAUUAUAUUGCCUCAUGGGAAUUCUAUAUCUGAACUACCUAUAAGCCCAGUAUUAGAUUCAAGCUCGGUAUCUUUGGUGUUAAGAGAUAUUCUAAAUAUUAAUAGAACCUUAGAUAUAUGUAAUGAUACUCCAUCUAACUUUUAUGCUCAUUUAGAUAAUAUUCCUGGUCCAUCUAGCAAUUUAUCAAUACCAUUGCCUAAUCCAAAAAAGGAAAUAGUCAAGAGAGUGAAAAGAAAAGCAGAGAUAUUCACAUCAUCUCCAUAUAAAAAGAAAUUAAUCGAGAAAGAAAAGAAAUUGAUGGAAAAAGAAAAUAUUGCCAAGAAAAAAAUACUGAAUAUAUAAAACAUCAUAAUGGCGAAUAGUGGUACCAAUGCAGAAUGUGCCACGGAUGGGCACAUGAUACAUGUUCAAAAUUUGAUAAAUAUUUUAUAUGUCCAAAUUGUUUAUUAAAUUAACAGAAAAUAAGUUUCAAUUUUUAUAUAUAAUUAGCAAUAAUUUUAUAAGUAUUAUGUAUUUUGAACAAUGAAACAAUAAAAUUAUUCUAUACGUAUCAUUAUUAAUAAAUAAAAAUGCAUUUCAAUUAUGACCUAUAAAAACCAAUGGUUUGGGAAGCCCCUUGAAGUGGUUUGCCUCACCCCGCUAUUGGGGCUUGUUGGGCAAAUUUUCGACUUUUACAAAAAAUAAAAUUUCAAAAAAUGAUUAUAUUUUUGAAAUUUUUUAUAAGACACCUUUAUAGAGAAGUUUUAGGUAUCUAAUCAUAUAUUGCUUUUUAUAUUAUCUAAAAAAAACCCAGGAGAAUAGACUUUUUUGUAAAAAUCAGUUCAACUAACCCCAGUCUCCUUUACAUAUUGAUUAUGCUGGACCAUUUCAAAAUCAUUAUUGGUUGGUAGUGAUAGAUGUUAAUGUCGCUGACCAGCUAUAGUUCUCAUGACUAGUACUACAACCGAAAACAUGAUAAAAAUAUUAAAAAAUAUUUUUGCCAGAUUCGGAUUUCCUAAGAUAAUCGUUUCUGAUAACGGGCCACAAUUCAACAGUAAAGAAUUCAAUGAUUUUUGCAAAAAAACAACGGAAUAUAAUUAGUGCACCAUAGUCCAUACCAUCCUCAGACUAACGGCAUAGCCGAACGUUUAGUUCGAACCUUUAAACAGAGCAUGAAUAAAAGAACGAGUAUAGAUACCAGUCUAGCUAUUUUUCUCUACAAUUACCAAAAUACCUCUAGGACAGAAAAUGAACAAAGUCCCGCCGAAAUACUACUAAAAAUUAAACCUAAAGGAUUGUUAGACCAAAUAUACGAACGGGGGAACAAAAAUGAGAAGUUAGAAUACUACACUCAAAAAUUCGAGAUAAAUGAAAAAGUGUGGUCGCGCAUUUACAAUAAUAAAGAAAAAAAGGGAAAAGGCCAUUAUUAAAAGCAUACUCGGAUCACUAUGAUAUGAAGUAAGUAUAGAGGGUAAAACGAUUAUACCAAACAGAAGAGUAGAAGAGAGGAAGAGAUAGUAAACAAAGAGGACGUAGUAAAAAAUAUCUGAAAUGAGAGGGAGGAAAAUGACACAAAUCAAGAAGCUGAUGGAAGUAUUACUCAAAAGAUAGAAACUACAAGUCAAGAUCGAUAUCCUAAAAGAAUACGAACGAAACCAAUAUUAGGGAUAAAUGUUAUGUAUUGAAUUGUUUAUUUUGUUAUUUUUGUAUUUUUAUUAUAUCAUUUGAAUACGAAAAGAAAAGAAAAGGCAUUUUUGAAGGUAUAAAAUAAAAUUAUA